ensembl:lncRNA
GACUUCUAUAAGCAGACUGAUAACAGAUAUCUUGCUCAAUGCUUAUGUAAACUUUCCAACACCAUAGACACAUCAGCUUUUAGGCUAUAAUUUAUAUUCAUGAUUUUCCCCCAACCUCAAAAUUUUCAUCAUUUUACUACCAUUUAAGUGUUUGCCAGCACUGGAGGAACAUUGCUUUUCAAAGAUGCGGUUCAUUUUAUUAUUGUGUGCACUUGUUAAAGCUUUCCAUGCAGACUUCUCGGAAAUAGGAUCUGGCGCUCCGGACUCAGAGGGGUUUGACACACAUCUGAAUCUCUUCACACAAAGAGUGGAUUUACUUGAGCAGCUCUCAGGCUUAGUACCAACCAGCAGGAACGUGACCUUUUAUGAGGACGACCGGGGAUGUCCAGUGCUGGACAUUGGCCUGUAUUCCACACUUACUAUGCCCACCCAGGAAGCAUUUGGAUCAAGCUUUGCAGAUGAAUUCAGUGUACUGAUUCAGUUGCAGAGCUCACAGGAAGAGGACCGGAGUGUGUUGACUUUGCUGAACUUCUAUAAUCACAUUUUACUCCAGAUCCGUAUAGGUCCACACAGCAUCACCUUCAUCACCACACAGCACCGUGACUAUGAGUUUUCAGUGUCAGGACUGUCUGACUCGCAGUGGCACUGGAUCUCGGUUGGGGUUGCAUUUGAAUGGCUGGCUGUCUAUGUGGACUGUGUGCUGGUGGAGAAAGUGAGCUGGAUGUACCCGUACAUGAGUAUCACUACAGAUGGCUUGCUGAUGGUGGGGGGAAUCCUGGAGGGAUUUGAGACACCUUUUGAGGGAGAGUUGAGACAGAUGACCUUCAUAAUGGGAGAUGCAAAUGCAGCCAAGGAUCAUUGUGUUCUUCAUCAGCACUUGUGUGAACCAAUGAAAGGACGCAGCUUUCUAAAGACAGAAAGUAGCACUGAGGUUGAUUUUUGAAGUGUGGAUCCUUGCACACUCUUUGAUGGCUAAUAUUACCCACAACUCAUUGCGCUUUGGUGAAGGAUUCAGUUUGGAACUACG